UGUUAUAAUCUCCACCCGGCACAGCCAGAAGAGGACUGGCCACCCCACAUAGCCUGGUUCCUCUCUAGGUUUAUAAUCUCCACCCGGCACAGCCAGAAGAGGACUGGCCACCCCACAUAGCCUGGUUCCUCUCUAGGUUUAUAAUCUCCACCCGGCACAGCCAGAAGAGGACUGGCCACCCCUCAUAGCCUGGUUCCUCUCUAGGUUUAUAAUCUCCACCCGGCACAGCCAGAAGAGGACUGGCCACCCCACAUAGCCUGGUUCCUCUCUAGGUUUAUAAUCUCCACCCGGCACAGCCAGAAGAGGACUGGCCACCCCACAUAGCCUGGUUCCUCUCUAGGUUUAUAAUCUCCACCCGGCACAGCCAGAAGAGGACUGGCCACCCCACAUAGCCUGGUUCCUCUCUAGGUUUAUAAUCUCCACCCGGCACAGCCAGAAGAGGACUGGCCACCCCUCAUAGCCUGGUUCCUCUCUAGGUUUAUAAUCUCCACCCGGCACAGCCAGAAGAGGACUGGCCACCCCACAUAGCCUGGUUCCUCUCUAGGUUUAUAAUCUCCACCCGGCACAGCCAGAAGAGGACUGGCCACCCCACAUAGCCUGGUUCCUCUCUAGGUUUAUAAUCUCCACCCGGCACAGCCAGAAGAGGACUGGCUACCCCUCAUAGCCUGGUUCCU